rnacentral:lncRNA from 1 species
GUCUCUUAAAUCUCUUUUUAAUCUAGGCCAGCCUGCUUGCCCUAGACCCUUUUUGAAAAAACAGGGCCAGCUGGAGAAUGUCCCACAUUCUGAAUUUGUCUGAUGAUUUCCUUGUGAUACAUGAAACUGGUUCCUCUAUUCCCUGUCUCUAAGAGGGAAGUUCUAAAAGCUUAAUGAGAUUUAGGGUAAAUAUUUUUUGGCAAGCGUAUUGCAUAGAUGAUGAUGUGUUUUCAUAUUCAUCAGGAUCCACACAUCUGUGUAUCUCACUGUCGGUGUGGUGGUUGAUUUUCUGGUGGCCAUGGAACUCUCCGUUGUAAAGAAAAACAUCUUCUCUCAGCAUGUAGACAAAACUACCAGCAAGUGUGAGCUGCUGGUGUACAGCAAGUGUGAAAUGCAGCAAAGACUCACAGACCUCAGAGUUUGGUCCACUGGACCCAGGCCCACUGCUGGAUAAAAGGUGCAGCACCCACUGGCCACUUCGACGGUUUACAUCUUGCUUCAAGGCCUUGCGCCCGAUCAGCUGAGCCCCUGUGCCAACCCUCAGGAGUAAGAACAAUCCUACUACCAUGAGGACACAACGAGCCUAAUCCAGAAAGU